GGUGACUUGUAGUAACAGAAAUUCAAGGCCAGGUAAAUUCCUAUAUUACAAAAUAUGUUAAAUUGCAUGGCAUUUUCAAAUCGCCUUAUUUGUUCUUUCAGAAGGCAAAUUUUCCAAAUGUUGUAAAGAAGAAAAAUGUUCUAGACACAUUCUUCAAAAUAGUUACAGCACAUUCAACUACCUCAACACGGAUAAAUUCAAGCACGUGUCAUCCCGAGAUCAUAUUCUUUGUAUAUAGGGACAGAAUUAAUCUGAAAUAUGAGUUUGUCAGCGUGUGACAUCCAUGAGCAAGAUCGUCUUCAAUAGGACAGCGUUCGGCUAGGAAUCGCAAGGAGCUGAAAUGUUUCAGAAUAAAGACAUGCCAUCCACCAUCAGAAGACUGUCUACAUUUUCAACUCCUUGAUGAAUUGACAAUAUAUACAGGAUACAGAAAAUAUUAUAGAUGACGUAGAAAUAGAAAUACAAAUACACCUAUGAUGCAGUUUCAAGCCAUAUCGACACGUAUCGUUGGGAUCAACUUAUCCAUGUAAGGGUAGAAUUGAUCGGUCGCCUGAGAAUGCUACAAUCGCCUACACGCCGUUGCCUUCCAACCAAGUACCUCUUCAGAUGGUGAAACUGAUGGGAUAAGGA